UGGGUGUCAAAGGAGAGACGUCUGCCCGGGGCAAGUCCCGGGAACUCUCUUUUAUUGAAUAUUACAAACAUUGCCACAGGUGUGCUUGUGGCUGAUUGGCUGAUACAAACACAAAGCAUCUUGUUGCUGAUUGGUUAACAUAGGUACAAGGCGGGCAUAACAUUUUACAUUAAUCAGUGAUAGUUCAAAAGACUGGGAGCGGAGCUGGAACUAGACAGGCAUGAAUCCUCCUAAUUAAAUUGUAACUAAGAUUAAUAUAACAUGACUAAAACAAUUACUAAUGAUUGAUCAUAAGUGAAAGGUCCGUAUAUGUGGUCAGCUAUGCAUUGAGAACAGAGCAUGUUGUUUUUUGUACGUGAACUCAGAAUGAACUGAAGAAUUGAGGGAAUGUCUGGGUGUCCUGAGCUUGGUGUGUUUGGAACAGUAUGUGCAGAGCAGAAGGAGACUUCCCAGAAUCCAAGAGGAAAGAAGCAAGAGUUUUCAUAGUAAGCAUAGAAAGAUUGCAUAGUAAGAGUUCCCAUAAUGCCACAGUUAUGUGCAGUAAGAGAACUGCAGAAAGAGAACUUCCCUUCAUCUCCCCCUUUCUUUUCUUGUUUGCGAGGCAUUCCAGGUGGAUAAGGCAAAAAUACUUCGGGAUUAGUGGUGUGCCAGCGAAUGCCCGAAAUAAGCCUGCCAGGGUCGAUGGGACAAAAGUACUUCAGGAUACGUGGUUUGCCAGCGCAUGCCCAAAAUAAAUCCGCCCACAUCUCCCCUAAGGUUUACUGUUGGUGUUGCCAUUUCGCAAUGUAAGCAGCAAGGAGUUUGCUGGGUGGUGGAGGGGGGGAGAGAAGCCGAGAGAAAAGACUCAUGAGGCUGGGAACGCAUUGAAGGAAACAGCAUAACAAAAUAAGAAUAGAAAUUAUGAAAAUAGCAUAUUGAAAGAGACUACGAAGCCAAGUAAGGUUAGGCAGCCAAGCAGUAAGCCACUGGGUGAAAGAAUCCCAGAGGCCAGGAAAACCAAUGUCCUGUUUAAUGUGAUGUGUAAGAUUUUGCAAAUGAGAGAUUUGGCUUUGAAUGGCUCUUGAAUUGUCAGUAAUAUUGAAACAGCACAUGUCAUUCACUUGUUCACAGUCAUAAUGAUGAAGCAUGAGCAAAUAGUGAUAGCAGCACGAUUUCGUAAAAGUCCAUUAUAUAAAAGUCCAUUAUAAAAGUCCACUUUGUUCUUUAUUCAAAAGGUGAAGGGCUUGUGAAGUAAAAUUCAGGGUUUUUGCUGCAUAACAAGCUAAAGAAAUAAUGUUCAUUCGAUUCCGUACAGCCAAUCCAGGGACUCCUAAGAGAGAAGCAACUAAAGAGAUAUAUUCAGACCUACUGAGAAGAGAGACAAAAGCAUCACAAUCAUUAGUCAAUUCAGUAUUGCAGCGAUAAAAUGAUGGACAAACGGCUUAAACAGCAAGGUGUGCCAUGGCUGAUGUUUGCUGGAAUGUAAUUAAACGUAUAGCCAGGACACGACCAGAAGAUUUCCAGUUGAGGGGAAGUGCAAGCUUACUCAUUAAAUUGAAUGGUAGCUUGUAAUUGUUGUAGUAAGUCUCUUCCCCACAGAUUGAGGUGGAUUUUCAGCACACAGGGCUGGAUGUAAGCAAUGGUUUCAGAGCUAUCAGGCAGAGAAACAGGCAGCCACUGUACGCUUUUGGAAGAGGUUUGGGGGCCACCCACACCCCAGACUGCAGAGGCAGACUCAAGGGGCCACGUGGGGUCCCAGCAACUACUAGAAAUUACAGAAACGUCUGCGCCUGUGUCAAUCAAGCCUUCCAGCACAAUACCAUUGAUUUUAUACUUACGAAGAAGUUUCUUCUCACCAAUCCUCUGGACUACAGCUAACAGCUGUGGAGGGAAAGAAGAGAGCUCGUGCAAAUUAGUAUCCAUAAUAGAAGCAGUAGGAUGAGAAGGGAGCACCACCAAAUGCGCCCAAGACUCACCCUUUUUUAAUUGCAUGGGCAUAUGGCUCCAGAGUUGAACCAUUAUUGUGCCUACAUAGUCAGGAUCCAGAACUCCAGGAAUAACCUGGAUGCCUUCCUUUGCCGCAGAAAAUUUGGGUAAAAUUAAACCUGCGACUUUAGGAGGCAGGGGACCUGCCAAUUGAGUGGGCAUAAGCACAAUUUCACCAGGUAGAACAGAGUCUUUGGUCUCUUGAUUGAUCAAAUCAAUUGCAAAUUCAGAGGGUGUGUUCUUUGAAAAGUUUGCAGCAGCAGAAAUUAAAGGCGGAAAGCUCUCUAAUUUUCCUGGCCCGAGAGCGAGGCCGCAAUGGAGUUUCCCGAACUCCUGCAGUGAUUCCCCCACUGAUAGCCUUUGCCACAUUUCGGGCAUUUUUUAGAAGGUCUAGCCUUAGAGGCAGAACCAUCCUUGUGUGCCCCCCCGCCUGGGGCUCUGCAUUGCUUGGCAAAAUGGCCUGGGCGCUUGCAAUUAAAGCAGUUACCAGUAGGCUUAGUGGUUGCUUGGAUUGCGCCGGCAAGCAAGGACAUCGCAUGGCUCUGGCUACCGACAUCCGCACAAGCUUGAAUCAUAUCGGCCAGUUCAUAUUUAGGGCGAUGUAUGAUUGACUGCAAAGCUUUCUUGCAAUCAGUGUUUGCGUUUUCAAAGGCCAAUUUUUUCAUCAAUUCAUUUUGAGCAGUGGUGUUAUCAAUCUGCCUAGUGACUGAUUCUUUCAAUCUAUCUAUAAACUGAUGGUAUGGCUCCGAAUGCUGUUGCUUAAUAUUUACAAAGGAGCUCAGCGGUUGCCCAGAAACAGGGACUUUCCGAAAGGCGCGUUGUACACAGGUCGCGGUGCGAACAAAAUGUACAGGUGUCAGUGUUGCUUGGGCAGUUAUAUCAGCAAACUGACCAGCACCAUAAAGUUCAUUGGCAGUAUGUUGAGGAUCAGACAGGGCUGAAGCGCUAUGUUUAAAUUCACUCUCAAACACCACAUACUGAGCAGGGGACAAAAGCAUGCGCAUCAGGUCUUUCCAGUCCUGAGGUAGCAUAAUGUAACCAGUUGCUAUGCCUUCUAGCAUCCCUGUCACAUAAGAGGAUUUCAGACCAGAAUCAGCAAUGGCUUUCCUUAAUUCCCUCAUUACAGAAUAAGGAAGCGAUUCAUAAUAAAUCUGCUGUUGAGCAGUUCCAGGGUUUGAAUAAGAGAUAGGGAAAGCAGACGGCAUUUCACCUGGCCACUCAGACUCCUCCUCUAAGGACAGGAGCCCUUUUGCCUUGCCAGAGAGAGCGCAGCACGCACAGCUCCUAUAGAGCAAACAGGGGCUGUGGCAGGAGGAGGAGGGAUGGGGGGGGAGGAAUCAGGCUGAGGCGGAGGGAUGGGGGGGGAGGAUGCAGGCUGAGGAGGGUGAGACGCGGGGAGGGAUUGGCUGGGCUGCAAGGAGAAGGAGGUAAAAGUUUCGGGUAAGGUGGGGGAUUGUCUGCAAUGGCCAGAAGAGGAGACGCCUGGGGUCCCAAUUGGGGCCCUAAUUUAGCAACGGCAUCAGCACAUUUCUGCCAAGUGAGCAGACAAUGAAUCGGAGCCCUAGGUUCUGCUAAAGGGUCUUUCCGAUCUUUUGCCAAGUCUCUACGUCCAAAGAUCCAGCCUCUGGAUAAAAGAUGCAUUGGCAAUUUAUCUCACAUAGCAAUUGUUCAAUUUCUUUUAAGGAAAUAUUAACACCCACCUCCCGCUGUCUAACUAAAUAAAGCAAUUCUUUAGCAUGCUCUUUCUGGAGCUUAGUCAAGUCCCCUCCCAUACUCACGAAGGUAGCGCGCUGAGACUUUUCCAGUCGGGUGAAGUAUGAGGUUUGGCUGCGUAAGGGAUCUGGCACGUCGGGGUCACCAGAUGUUGGGUUGAAAUCACGACAGACGAAUGGUGGGUGUCAAAGGAGAGACGUCUGCCCGGGGCAAGUCCCGGGAACUCUCUUUAUUGAAUAUUACAAACAUUGCCACAGGUGUGCUUGUGGCUGAUUGGCUGAUACAAACACAAAGCAUCUUGUUGCUGAUUGGUUAACAUAGGUACAAGGCGGGAAUAACAUUUUACAUUAAUCAGUGAUAGUUCAAAAGACUGGGAGCGGAGCUGGAACUAGACAGGCAUGAAUCCUCCUAAUUAAAUUGUAACUAAGAUUAAUAUAACAUGACUAAAACAAUUACUAAUGAUUG
rnacentral:lncRNA from 1 species